rnacentral:rRNA from 1 species
UACGGAGGGAGCUAGCGUUAUUCGGAAUUACUGGGCGUAAAGCGUACGUAGGCGGCUUUGUAAGUAAGAGGUGAAAGCCCGGAGCUCAACCUCCGGAACUGCCUGUUAGACUGCAUCGCUUGAAUCCAGGAGAGGUGAGUGGAAGUUCCGAGUGUAGAGGUGAAAUUCGUAGAUAUUCGGAAGAACACCAGUGGCGAAGGCGGCUCACUGGCCCGGAACUGACGCUGAGGUGCGAAAGCGUG